UGGGGAAUUUUGGACAAUGGGGGAAACCCUGAUCCAGCCAUCCCGCGUGUGCGAUGAAGGCCUUCGGGUUGUAAAGCACUUUUGGCAGGAAAGAGACGUCGCGGGUUAAUACCCCGCGAAACUGACGGUACCUGCAGAAUAAGCACCGGCUAACUACGUGCCAGCAGCCGCGGUAAUACGUAGGGUGCAAGCGUUAAUCGGAAUUACUGGGCGUAAAGCGUGCGCAGGCGGUUCGGAAAGAAAGAUGUGAAAUCCCAGAGCUUAACUUUGGAACUGCAUUUUUAACUACCGGGCUAGAGUGUGUCAGAGGGAGGUGGAAUUCCGCGUGUAGCAGUGAAAUGCGUAGAUAUGCGGAGGAACACCGAUGGCGAAGGCAGCCUCCUGGGAUAACACUGACGCUCAUGCACGAAAGCGUGGGGAGCAAACAGGAUUAGAUACCCUGGUAGUCCACGCCCUAAACGAUGUCAACUAGCUGUUGGGGGCCUUCGGGCCUUGGUAGCGCAGCUAACGCGUGAAGUUGACCGCCUGGGGAGUACGGCCGCAAGAUUAAAACUCAAAUGAA
rnacentral:rRNA from 1 species